UCUNUCUUAAAAGUUCGGGGCUUAACCCCGUGAUGGGAUGGAAACUGNCAAUCUAGAGUAUCGGAGAGGAAAGUGGAAUUCCUAGUGUAGCGGUGAAAUGCGUAGAUAUUAGGAAGAACACCAGUGGCGAAGGCGACUUUCUAGACGAAAACUGACGCUGAGGCGCGAAAGCCAGGGGAGCGAACGGGAUUAGAUACCCCGGUAGUCCCGGCCGUAAACGAUGGGUACUAGGUGUAGGAGGUAUCGACCCCUUCUGUGCCGGAGUUAACGCAAUAAGUACCCCGCCUGGGGAGUACGACCGCAAGGUUGAAACUCAAAGGAAUUGACGGGGGCCCGCACAAGCGGUGGAGUAUGUGGUUUAAUUCGACGCAACGCGAAGGACCUUACCAGGUCUUGACAUUGAUGGACAGAACUAGAGAUAGUUCCUCUUCUUCGGAAGCCAGAAAACAGGUGGUGCACGGUUGUCGUCAGCUCGUGUCGUGAGAUGUUGGGUUAAGUCCCGCAACGAGCGCAACCCCUAUCUUAUGUUGCCAGCACUUCGGGUGGGAACUCAUGAGAGACUGCCGCAGACAAUGCGGAGGAAGGCGGGGAUGACGUCAAAUCAUCAUGCCCCUUAUGACCUGGGCUACACACGUACUACAAUGGGAGUUAAUAGACGGAAGCAAUACCGCGAGGUGGAGCAAACCCGAGAAACACUCUCUCAGUUCGGAUCGUAGGCUGCAACUCGCCUACGUGAAGUCGGAAUCGCUAGUAAUCGCAGGUCAGCAUACUGCGGUGAAUACGUUCCCGGGCCUUGUACACACCGCCCGUCACACCACGAAAGUCGGA
rnacentral:rRNA from 1 species